rnacentral:lncRNA from 1 species
UUGAAGUCAGCGUACCUUGUCGUAAGCCAGAAUUUGGAACAAGAACAUGGAAGGAUGAUGUUGCGACUGGCUAAGGUUUCUGCAGGACAUAAUGGAUGUAUAACUCUGGCUACCACUAGAGCUCCAAUUGCAGCUCAUGAUUUUUGCACCGCAAGUCUGCAAAACAAGAACGAGUUGAUGUCAGUGGUCCACACGAUCAUGAAGCAGACACUUUGUAAAGUAAGCAGAGAACAGCUCAGGAGACCUGUUGACAUACUUGGUUCUUGUUUUGCAGGAUGCAAGAGCUUUUUGAGGGGAAAUAUCAACGUCUUGAGAAUGCAAGAGAUUAAAGUUCUUUAUCGGAAAGAAAGUAAGAGAUGGAGUGAGAGAGAAGACCUCGUAAAGUUAAAGGGAAUCCCUCACCUACAUAUCAGUGUAAGAAGACUUUAAACUCCACUGGUGAGUGAAACUUUAUUAUGGUUCUUUUUGUAGCUUGCCUUCCUCUUUGUUGCUCUUUCUCUUUGCACUCUUUUUACUGCCACCACAUUACUUGGCAAAAAGAUACAUUCGGAAUCAAUCUCGUAAACUACUGUGCCUUUUUUAUCAGCACCUUCUAAUUACACCUUCCUUGUGAAUUGCAAUAGAUGCUGAAGCAUUUAUCCCCCCUCAAAAGCAGUAAAUCUUAUAUAGCCAGAGCAGAUUGGCCUUUUUUUCAUUCCAUAUUCAUGCCACAAUUGCUUGAUUUAGACCAACAAAUCAUUGCACUGCAGUAGAACUUUUUUAUAUUUGUUCAGAUAAACCUGCUUUUGUAGUCAGUUGCUAAUGAUUCGGUAGUGGAUCCCAAAUCAUAGGAAGUCAUGUUAGUUGCUGCCUGUGACAAGGUGGAGAGGCAGAGUCCACUUUUCUCAGUUUAAACAAGACUAUUUAGCACAUAGAGCUCGAACUAUGGCAUCUUAGAUGGCACCUAUCAAACAAACAUAUCAUGAGAUUUUUCAUGUCCUUUUGUUCUAGGCCCUGAAAAAGAUUACUUAGGAAAUGGUCAGACCCCAUACAUGUUUGAUGUAGUAAUCAUAGUUCAAGAGAAAGCAAGAUAAAGAAAGUGCCAUCAUGGUCCCAAACCUGGGACAACACUACACAGUAGGUUUCACACCAGUGAAUCUUUUGUGGCCUCAUUCCAUGACAAACAAGUCUGCCACACCCAAUGAGAUAAAAAAACUGUAUGUGAUCAAUUCCAAAGCAAAAAGAAACCUCCAUGGUUUGCAAACCUUGGAUCUGGGUCCCAUGGUGGUGUUCACCAGGGCUUUUCUACUGUGCUAAGUGGAAGAUGACUGCACCCACACCUUUCUCCACCACUCGAAGCAAAGGAAAACAAAUUGCGGAAAGGUUCCAUGUCAUGUAAUCUCAUGUUAGCCAUCCACCUAAGAAAUCUACAUGCUUCUUUAUUCUUUUGACAAAUCUUUUCUAAUCUAUGAUCUUCCCAAUCCAAAUAAGAAGCUGGAUCAAACAUUUGUCUUCUCUUGAACUUGUGCUAGCUUUUAUUCAAUGUGUGCAUACACUCUACCAAAAAAAAGGAUGAGUUGUACAUUGAUUUUUUUAAUAAAAAAGGCUAACUAAUAGAUUUAAGAUCACAAAAAAGUUUGGACAACAAUAUCAGAAUUUUAACUUGGUUCUUGACUUGUAUGUCCUUAUCUAGAUAGAAUAUGACUUUCUGCAACUUGUAUCCUUUCAAUUUUGUGGUAUGCAAUAUGUAUGGCAUCAUCAUCCUGUCAGUCCAAACUGAACAAUCUCCAACCAAAUGCAGCAUUACCAUAUCUAUCCACUUCUUGAUUUAAUUGCUAAUUACCAAAAAAACUUAAAGGUGUUGACGUGACCAACAGAAAUCUUUGGACGAUCAUUACAGUAAAUUGGAAGCUUUUACCCAAUUAUCUACUUAAUGAAGUCUCUUUGUGCUAGCAUGGCCUCUUAUUGAAACCCUCCUUGUCGCGCUACUAGAAAUCUGGAAUGUAGACCAGCUUUCAUCAAAUUUUCUACUCGCAUCUUUUAAUUGAGUGAACUUCUCAUCCUCCAAUAUGUAUCAGUUCUGAAACUUAGGAGGUCCGAAAAAACAAAAAGAAGAGACAACAAGAGAAGAAAGUAAUCCUCCUUCCAUUACUGAAGAAACUUUCCUUUCUUCAAGAUAGUGUGAGCCAAGCUCAAAGAACUGAAAGCAUUUUCCUUAGCCAAGAAGAAAUGUGUCCUCUCCUAGCAUCUGUUUUAUGCAGUUGACAUUGAAUAGACUGUCAGCAUCUGUUUGUGAAGAGUCUCUGCUUUCUCCAAAGUGGUAUAACUGAAAAGAUGCACUCUUGGUAGAAAACAGUUCUCUCCAAGUGUCUAUUCUCCAAAGUUGGCAAUGAAUAGUCUAAUAGUUUGGCUGUCUCUCUGCAAAAGUUACACUAUACAACUUUCUAAGAUCCAUAUGCUAUAUAUCACAUCACCACAGCAUCAAACACUAAGUUUGGUAGCUUAUGGAUGUGCUGAGAAAGAUUAAAGACUAUAUGUUGGUUGGAAUUGGGAGUAGGCUUAGAUUGCAACUGAGGCUAAGAUUUACAAUCAUUGUUAAUCUUAGGCAAUGUAGAUACUCGACAUUUACCUCGAAAAAAGAUUACACAUGUUAUCAUAAAAAUGAUUGCAACUUCAAUGCUUCCUUUUCAUAAUGUAUCUUUACAAAUGAUCAUGUAGGAUGUGAACUUGAAGUCAAGAUCUGGCAAUGGUGAAAUCAACAUGGGAACAUGAAAUGCACAGUCCCUUAUCAUUUUUGAGGCAGCUUCCUUUUUUGCUUGUUCUAAUCAAAUCAGUCUUUUUUUUGUCAAUCUCACAAAAAAAGAACUGAGCUCAGGAGCUGUCCCAACUCUCUUGGCAAAUCCCUACCUACAAAGUUCACUUGGGGUGAGUUGGGACUUGGCUAGUCUCAUCUUCCAUCCACCUACCACCUCCAUUGUUCAUAACCUGCAGCCAUUUCAAGUUUCCAAGUCUCCUACUUGUAUUGAAAAUACAGUUCCUCAUCUAAUGCUUGGUUGUUGGAUGCAUGGUUAAAGAAGCACAUGCAACAUGUGAACCAAACAUAGAGUACAUGCAUUUGUAAUAUAUGAAUAAACCAUCAUAAAUAUGUAUUUUUAGGAUAGAAUGUUGAAGGUAUCAAAAGUUUUUAGAAAGCAUGUGCAACAAAUGUCUUCCACUAUCAAACUUACAAGACAAUGGGCACAGGAAACAACAUUUGGGGUGGUUAGAUAUGAACUUAAGUUUAAGAUUGAU